rnacentral:lncRNA from 1 species
UUUGGAGUUGGUUUGCCUUGGAAACCCUAGUUUGUCUAGGUAUCUUGAGUAACUUCUUCAACAAGCUUCCUCACCAAUUGAUCAAAUUUCUCAAGGUACAAUUCAAAAUUCAUCAUCUUAUUCAUAUAUGAUCUACCAUGAGCCUAAAAAGUCAAGAGAAUUGCAAGUUAGCAAGUUAGUUGAUGGUGGUUGACCAGAUGAAUUCAUC